AGCCCUCCAACCGCCUGCCCUCCAAUCGCCAGCCCUCCCGGCUUCCAUCUCCUCCCAGCUACCUGCAGUGCCACCAGGUUUAUCACCUUAGAGCAUCCACAGCCACAGUUACCCAGAGAGAAGAGAAGGAGGAGACACAGGGCUUGGGGACGAAGGCAUUCAAACAGGCAGGUCCUCCCACGGGAAUCCCAUGACGGCCGACUCCACGACCACUUCCCCAGCAUGACUAGAUUUCCUGCAGCUUCGAAAUGCAAACAUUGCCUCAGACAAAAGCUAAAAUUGUUACAGUCAGAACCGAAACCACGAGUGAGAAGGGGCUCUGCUCCCAGUACCCACAGCCACGGGGAGCCACCGACCAGCAUGUCUUACCAUUGUUCACCUGGCCGUGGACCGCAGUGGGGACUGAUGCCACAGGCUGGGUCUAUCCUCCAGAACGAGCCUUUGCCUGGUUCUUCCUGGGAACGCGGCACUUUGAUGAAAUAACGAUUCAGAGAGAGAUUGUGGCGAAUUGAAUUCUAUGAAACAUAAAAAAAUACGUAGAAUUCAUAUAUUUAUUUGCUGAGAAAUAAAAAUGUGUCCUCGUUUUAGUGCCCUAAAAAGCAGAAACCUACAUGUUGGGCCUGGCAGACUGCAAGAGUGAAUUUUUUUUCUUUUGCGUCACACAAGUAAUGUGCUGACAACAUAACAAGAUUUAAGGAAGGCCCAUCCUAUGGGGAAGCGUGAAAACCCAGUCAUCAUGCUUAUAAACGAUGACAGAGAGUGACGUUUACAGGCUGUGCUGUGUGGAAGGAGCAGCCCUCCCGCCUGGGUGAGCAAUUCUCAAGGGAAGUAGCAGCCUGGGGUUUGAGCCCUUCAGCCCAAGGCUGCUAUGGGCUUCCAAAGAGGAAAGGACACCUCACUCUGUGGCAGAACGGGCCCCGGGAGGCAGGGUGGAGAGCUGGCAACAGGAGGGAUGAGCAAUCCACACAGCGCAGACAGAGGCCAUUUCUGACUCCAUCUCCUUUCAAGGUGGGAAACCCAGGACUGCAACUGUCAGCACUGAGCAUUCCAGGUGGAGGCAAUGACUUAGCUGCCAACCUCUCCCUGCUUGGAGACAAACAGAGCUGAUGUGAGCCAUUCUGUUAAAAUACUUUUUCGCACAGAAUUAGCUUACAGAAUCUGUCAUGCCAUUAAAAGUAAAUUAAUCCAGUAUAAAGUAUUUGGUAAACCAGCAAAAAAGAAAAAUGAGCAGGAGGCUGAAAAUCAGGAUGGACACCAUCUUCCAGGAAGAGAGGACUUGGCAAAGUACCUGUUUUUUUAUUUGAACUCUGAAAUAAUUUCGUAACGUACACAGGAAAAAUUUCCCUCCCAGCUCCUCAUCAGUGCAUCAUUCUUUCUAUUACAAAAAGCCAGACGGGCGCAGCGGCUCAGUUGAGGUCAGGAGUUUGAGGCCAGCCUGGCCAACAUGGUGAAACCCCGUCUCUACUGAACAUACAAAAAUUGGCCAGGCAUGGUGGCUCACGCCUGUAAUCCCAGCACUUUGGGAGGCCGAGGCGGGCGGAUCACGAGGUCAGGAGAUCGAGACCAUCCUGGCAAACACGGUGAAACCCUGUCUCUACUAAAAAUACGAAAAAUUAGCGGGGCGUAGUGGCGGGCACCUGUAGUCCCAGUUGCUCGGGAGGCUGAGGCGGGAGAAUGGUGUGAACCCGGGAGGCAGAGCUUGCAGUGAGCCGAGAUUGCGCCACUGCACUCCAGCCUGGGCGACAGAGUAAGACUCCAUCUCAAAAAAAAAAAAAAACCCACACAAAAAUCAUCCGGGCACAGUGGCCCACACCUGUAGUCCCAGCUACUAAGGAUGCUGAAGCUGAAGAAUUGCUUGAAGCCGAGAGGAGGAGGUUGCAGUGAGCCCAGAUCGCACCACUGCACUCCAGCCUGGGCAAUAGAAGCAAGACUCCAUCUCAGAAAAAAGCCCAGCUAAGAGUUGACAGACACCCUGAAGAAAGCCCCCGCUGGGACCUGACUCAGGCCAAAGCCGGACGAACGUCAUGGGUUCAUAGAAACAUUUCGUGAAUUUACAUUAAUGUGUAGAUUUAAAAUUAAGCUAUUAAAGUGUUAAAAUGGUGAUCACUCAAAACAAAA